rnacentral:misc_RNA from 1 species
AACGCACCUUGCGCUCCUUGGUAUUCCGAGGAGCAUGCCUGUUUGAGUGUCAUGGUAUUCUCAACUCUACAAAGCUUUUGCGAUGAAGAGUUGGAUUUGGAGGCUUGUGUUGGCUUGAAAGAGUUGACUCCUCUGAAAUGCAUUAGUGUGAACCUUUACGGAUCGCCUCCAGUGUGAUAAUGUCUACGCUGUGGUGUUGAAGUAUUUCUAGUGUUCAUGCUUCUAAUCGUCCUCUUAGGACAAUCAUUUGACAAUCUGACCUCAAAUCAGGUAGGACUACCCGCUGAACUUAA